AGUGAACGCUGGCGGUAGGCCUAACACAUGCAAGUCGAACGGCAGCACAGUAAGAGCUUGCUCUUACGGGUGGCGAGUGGCGGACGGGUGAGGAAUACAUCGGAAUCUACUUAUUCGUGGGGGAUAACGUAGGGAAACUUACGCUAAUACCGCAUACGACCUACGGGUGAAAGCAGGGGAUCUUCGGACCUUGCGCGAUUGAAUGAGCCGAUGUCGGAUUAGCUAGUUGGCGGGGUAAAGGCCCACCAAGGCGACGAUCCGUAGCUGGUCUGAGAGGAUGAUCAGCCACACUGGAACUGAGACACGGUCCAGACUCCUACGGGAGGCAGCAGUGGGGAAUAUUGGACAAUGGGCGCAAGCCUGAUCCAGCCAUACCGCGUGGGUGAAGAAGGCCUUCGGGUUGUAAAGCCCUUUUGUUGGGAAAGAAAAGCAGCGGGUUAAUACCCCGCUGUUCUGACGGUACCCAAAGAAUAAGCACCGGCUAACUUCGUG
rnacentral:rRNA from 1 species